CCUACGGGUGACAGCAGUGAGGAAUAUUGGUCAAUGGGCGCGAGCCUGAACCAGCAAAGUCGCGUGAGGGAUGACGGUCCUACGGAUUGUAAACCUCUUUUGCCGGGAAGCAAGCGUGCGUUCGUGAACGCGCGUAGAGAGUACCCGGAGAAAAAGCAUCGGCUAACUACGUGCCAGCAGCCGCGGUAAUACGGAGGAUGCGAGCGUUAUCCGGAUUUAUUUGGUUUAAAGGGUGCGUAGGCGGGAUGCCAAGUCAGCGGUAAAAAUGCGGUGCUCAACGCCGUCGAGCCGUUGAAACUGGCGUUGUUGAGUGGGCGAGAAGUAUGCGGAAUGCGUGGUGUAGCGGUGAAAUGCAUAGUUAUCACGCAGAACUCCGAUUGCGAAGGCAGCAUACCGGCGCCCUACUGACGCUGAGGCACGAAAGCGUGGGUAUCGAACAGGAUUAGAUACCCGAGUAGUC
rnacentral:rRNA from 1 species